rnacentral:rRNA from 1 species
UAAGUUAGCCACGAAUAGGCUAUCCCAACUAACGGCGGGAAAAUCUCCACGGAGGGUGUAAGACCCGUGUGGGCGCGUGUUAAAGCUGUGCGGGCUCGGCCUCUUUUCCCUGAGAGUCGCGUUGCUUGAGCAUGCAGCGCUAAGCAGGUCGUAAACUCGAUCUAAGGCUAAAUAUAUCCACAGAACCGAUAGCGAACAAGUACCGUGAGGGAAAGUUGAAAAGCACUCUGGAGAGAGAGUCAAAAGACCGUGAAACCGCUUAGAGUAUAAGCCCAUGGCAGCUUGGAAGGCAUGUCGGUGGCGGGGCAUCUGGAAGCUGCCCCUUCGCGGGGGGAGUGGAAGGGUGUUACCCUAUCUCUGUAAUGGCUCAUUAUGGUAGGGGGGUCAAGUCCACAUCCCGCCAACGGGUGGGGAGCACUGUGGUGCGUUGUUGUUCUGCUUCUGGUUUCGGCUGGUUGUGGGGCUCAGCGUGCCUGGUGCUUCUUGUUAACUCGGAUGUUCAGAGUCAGAGAUAGGACACGACAAACAGCCCACCACGGCACGUUGUGAGGUCACCCACAGGCUCGACUUUCGAUCGUGGUCCUUGACAUAGAGCAGUUCAGUGCGUGUCGCAAAAGUUCCUGACCUCUGUCUUGAAACAUAGAAGAGGAGUGCGGAAAGACACGCGCUCUCACACGUCAGGACCGGGCGAUGACUGAGUUCUGGUAUGAUCCUCUGCGACGAGUCGCUUUCUGGCCAUAAUCUGAUUUGCCCAGUGCUCCUGCAUGUGCCGCAGUACGCUCGUGACGGUCUGGA